rnacentral:rRNA from 1 species
UUGUUGGUAAGGUAAAAGCUUACCAAGGCUUCGAUCAGUAGCUGGUCUGAGAGGACGACCAGCCACACUGGGACUGAGACACGGCCCAGACUCCUACGGGAGGCAGCAGUGGGGAAUUUUGGACAAUGGGGGCAACCCUGAUCCAGCCAUGCCGCGUGAGUGAAGAAGGCCUUCGGGUUGUAAAGCUCUUUCAGCCGGAACGAAACGGUUACGGAUAACACCCGUGACUACUGACGGUACCGGAAGAAGAAGCACCGACUAACUACGUGCCAGCAGCCGCGGUAAUACGUAGGGUGCGAGCGUUAAUCGGAAUUACUGGGCGUAAAGCGUGCGCAGGUGGUUUUGUAAGUCAGAUGUGAAAGCCCCGGGCUCAACCUGGGAACUGCGUUUGAAACUACAAGACUAGAGUGUGGCAGAGGGGGGUGGAAUUCCGCGUGUAGCAGUGAAAUGCGUAGAGAUGUGGAGGAACACCGAUGGCGAAGGCAGCCCCCUGGGUCAACACUGACGCUCAGGCACGAAAGCAUGGGGAGCAAACAGGAUUAGAUACCCUGGUAGUCCAUGCCCUAAACGAUGUCAACUAGUUGUCGGGCCUUUACGGGCUUGGUAACGUAGCUAACGCGUGAAGUUGACCGCCUGGGGAGUACGAUCGCAAGAUUAAAACUCAAAUGAAUUGACGGGGACCCGCACAAGCGGUGGAUUAUGUGGAUUAAUUCGAUGCAACGCGAAAAACCUUACCUACCCUUGACAUGUAUCGAAGCCCGCAGAAAAGCGGGGGUGCCCGAAAGGGAACGAUAACACAGGUGCUGCAUGGCUGUCGUCAGCUCGUGUCGUGAGAUGUUGGGUUAAGUCCCGCAACGAGCGCAACCCUUGUCAUUAAUUGCCAUCAUUUAGUUGGGCACUUUAAUGAGACUGCCGG